rnacentral:rRNA from 1 species
AAUAUUGGACAAUGGGGGCAACCCUGAUCCAGCCAUGCCGCGUGUGUGAAUAAGGUCUUCGGAUUGUAAAGCACUUUAAGUUGGGAAGAAGGGCUUUAGGUUAAUACCAUGAAGUUUUUACGUUACCAACAGAAUAAUCACCGGCUAAAUCUGUUCCAGCAGCCGCGGUAAUACAGAGGGUGCAAGCGUUAAUCGGAAUUACUGGGCGUAAAGCGCUCGUAGGUGGUUCAGUAAGAUGGGUGUGAAAUCCCCGGGCUUAACCUGGGAACUGCUUUCAUAACUGCUGAGCUAGAGUACGGUAGAGGGUAGUGGAAUUCCCUGUGCAGCGGUGAAAUGCGUAGAUAUAGGAAGGAACACCAGUGGCGAAGGCGACUACCUGGACUGAUACUGACACUGAGGUGCGAAAGCGUGGGGAGCAAAC